CCUACGGAUAGCUGCAGUGGGGAAUAUUGCACAAUGGGGGGAACCCUGAUGCAGCCAUGCCGCGAGAAUGAAGAAGGCCUUCGGGUUGUAAAGUUAUUUCGGUAGCGAGGAAGGCAUUUAGUUUAAUAGACUAGAUGAUUGACGUUAACUACAGAAGAAGCACCGGCUAACUCCGUGCCAGCAGCCGCGGUAAUACGGGGGAUGGGAGCGUUAACCGGAAUAACUGGGGUUAAAGGGCACGCAGGCGGAAAGUAAAGUCAGCGGUAAAAUCGCGGGGUUUAACCUGGAUACGGCGUUUCAACUGGUGUUCUGGAGUGAGCGAGAGGUAUGCGGAAUGCGUGGUGUAGCGGUGAAAUGCUUAGAGAUCAUACAGAACACCGAUGGCGAAGGCAGCUUACCAAGCUACUUCUGACGUUGAGGCACGAAAGCGUGGGGAGCAAACAGGAUUAGAUACCCCGGUAGUC
rnacentral:rRNA from 1 species